GGGUCGGCUUUAGCUCAAGCGGUUACUUCGCGUGUGGUUACCAAACCUUACAACCCUCUCGUUGGGGUUCGAGACCCGCGGGUGCUUUCUGACCCUUUU
rnacentral:vault_RNA from 1 species